CCAACCUGUAGACAGGAGGAGGUAACUCUAUCAAGCAUUUUGACAGAAUUAUGCCCCUUUUUCGACUUAGAAUUUACGUUAAAGUUUUUGUAAUAGUUAAAAUAUUUUCAAAGUCCAUUGACAUAUGGCUUUGAAACUUUGCACACUUGUUCACCAUCAUUACCCCAACCUGUACACAGGAGGAGGUAACUGUAUCAAGCAUUUUUUUACUAUCAAGCACUUAGAAUAGUCGAGCGUUGCUGUCCUACCGACAGCUCUUGUUAGAGUUAUUGCCCUUGACUUAGUAAAAAAAUUUCAAUUUUCAACUUGUGUUGCAUGUAAAUCAAAAAGUAUAUGACCUAGAGUCAUGAAACUUUACAGGAAUGUUGAUAAGCAUGUGUAGUUGUGCACCUGGAUAUUUUCGUCUGCAUUUAUUUAUUAUUUUUAGAGUUAUUGCCCUUGACUUUGUAAAAUUUUGCAAUUUUCAACUUGUGUCGCAUGUAACUCAAAAAGUAUUUGACCUAGAGUCAUAAAACUUUACAGGAAUGUUGAUCACCAUGUGUAGUUGUGCAUCCGGUUGUUUUCGUCUGGAUUUAUUUAGUACUUUUAGAGUUAUUGCCCUUGACUUAGAAAUUUUUUGCAAUUUUCAACUUGUGUCGUAUGUAUCUCAAAAAGGAUUUGACCUUGAGUCAUUAAACCUUACGGGAAGGUUGCUCAGCAUAUUAAGUUUUGCACCUGGGGUUUGGCUUAAGGAUUUAUCCAGUUUUUGAAGAGUUAUUUCCCUUGACUUAGUAAAAACCGUUUCAUUAUGUUAUCUGUUCCUUGAGUGCUUGAGUUAGAAUCAACCAACUUUACAGGAAUAAUGAUCAACAUCACUAAAUUACAGGAAUAAUGAUUCACAUCACUGUGAAGCUAUGCACCUGGGACUUUGCAUGUGGACUUUUUCCAGUUUUGUUAUAGUUAUUGCCCUUGAGUUACAGUAGUAUAAAUUUGCAAUUUUCAACUUGUUCAUGCAUAGCUCAAAAAGUAUUUCACUUGAAGGCCUGAAAGUUUACAAGAAUGUUGGUCAGCAUGUGUACUUAUGCACCUUGGGGUUUGCUUGUGGAUUUAUUCAGUAUUUGUAAAGUUCUUGCCCUUUACUUAGUAAAAGAUUUUUAGUUUUCAAAAAAUAUUUGACCUAGAGUCAUUAGAUUGACAGAACAGUGGCGCGGUGGGGGCACCAGUGUCCUAUGGACACAUUUCUAGUUUAUUAUAAGGUUUAUAACUCUUUCAUCUAUAUUUCAAGAGGUAUCUCCUCUUAAAACUUAGAAUUUUGUUUGAAAAAAGUGUAUGAGAACUUCAUAUUAUUGUCUUUCCAUUUCAACACUAUAAUUUCUUUUGAUAUUUUACGGUUCAUAAAGUCAUACAUGCUAUGUUGUGUAAAAAUGUUGGAUCUUCAAAAUGUAUAUCCAGUAAAAAGUCUGUUGGACUGUUAUGAUUUUGGAACAAUUAACACAUCUUGUGUUGAUUCAGCUUAAUUUCAUCUAAUUUUUAUAGCUUGGCGAAACUGGUUCCAACGAUUUCAGGAAUGUGGAACAUUAAGGCUAUAUAUAAAAGCAAUUUAAAACAGAGUUUAGAUUUGGACCAUAUUUACAUAUAUUGCCAUUCAAGUUAAGAAAUGCUUUAUCAAAACUAAGAUUAUUUUCACACAAACUGGCUUUUGAUACUGUAGGUUAUUCUAGAAACAGAGUGGAAAGAAAUGAGUGUUCUUGUAUUUUUUGUCAAAACAGAGAUAUUGGAGAUGAAUAACAUUUCGAUAUAUGAUGUAUGUUGUACGAACAUUUUAGAAAACAAUAUAUUAAAGCCUUUUAUUAUAGGAGAGCAACUGUUACAAAGUUUACAGAUUUUUUUAAGAGUGAACAUCAAGCUUUUAUACUUAGGAAGUCUUUGCUUUGUUAAAUUUGCCAAUAUGGAAUUUUAUGGAUUUUGUGUAGGGUAUUGAUAUAUAUGUAAACAUCUUAUUCAUCCUCCGCAAACAACAUGUUGACCAUGUAAAUUGUGUUUACUGUUUGUUAAAUCACAUGUUAAAAUUAUGUUGUAUAGGUAUAUGCAAAUGUAUGACCAAAAACUGUACUGUUUACAUCAAUUAAAUUGUCUAUCUAUCUUUCGAUACGAUUCCAUCCAUCAUUAAUAGAUAAUGCAUUGCGCAAUAACAGUAAUUGAGUUUUAUUAAUUUUGGCUUGGACAGUUUUGAUCAGAUCACAGAAUAAAUUUGAAUUAUUAAUUAAAAUCAUGAGGUGAAAGAGUGCAAACUUCUAGGAUGAUAACCUCACAAUUAACUGUAUCCUUAUUUUAUCCAAGCUACAACACAAAAAUAAAUCAGAAAUAUCAUCUUGAAUCUUCAGUGUUUUAUCCUUCACCUUUUGCGUUAAUGCCCUUUGAUUUGUUGUAUUAUGUCAUGGUAGGAAAUGAAUCAAUUUUUAGCUCACCUGUCACAAAGUGACAGGGUGAGCUUUUGUGAUCGCUUUUCGUCCGGCGUCCGUCCGUCCGUCCGUCCGUCCGUAAACUUUUGCUUUAAAUGACAUCUCCUAAUAAACUACUGAGCCAAUUUCAUCCAAACUUAACAGGAAUGUUCCUUUGGUGGUCACCUUUAAAAAUUGUUCAAAGAAUUUAAUUCCAUGCAGAACUCUGGUUGCCAUGGCAACCAAAAGAAAAAACUUUAAAUAUCUUCUUUUAAAAAACCAUAAGAGCUAGAGCUUAGAUAUUUGGCAUGAAACAUCUUCUAGUGAGUGUCUACCAAGGUUGUUCAAAUAAAAGCCCUGGGGUCAAAAUUGGCCCCGCCCCAGGGGGGCAUUGAUUUUCCCUAUAUGCAUAUAGUAAAAACUUAAAAAAUCUUCUUUUAAAGAACCCAAAGAGCUAGAGCUAAGAUAUUGGGCAUGAAACAUCUUCUAGUGAGUGUCUACCAAGUUUGUUCAAAUAAAAGCCCUGGGGUCAAAAUUGGCCCCGCCCCUGGGGGUCAUUGACUUUCCCUAUAUGCAAAUAGUAAAAACUUAAAAAAUCUUCUUUUAUAGAACCGUAAGAGCUAGAGCUUAGUUAUUUGGCAUGAAACAUCUUCUAGUAAAUGUCUACCAAGUUUGUUCAAAUAAAAGCCCUGGGGUCAAAAUUGGCCCCGCCCCAGGGGGUCAUUGAUUUUCCCUAUAUGCAUAUAGUAAAAACUUAAAAAAUCUUCUUUUAAAGAACUCAAAGAGCUAGAGCUAAGAUAUUUAGCAUGAAACAUCUUCUAGUGAGUGUCUACCAAGUUUGUUCAAAUUAAAGUCCUGGGGUCAAAAUUGGCCCCGCCCCGGGGGUCAUUGAUUUUCCCUAUAUGCAUAUAGUAAAAACUUAAAAAAUCUUCUUUUAAAGAACCAUAAGAGCUAGAGCUUAGAUAUUUAGCAUGAAACAUCUUCUAGUGAAUGUCUACCAAGUUUGUUCAAAUAAAAGCCCUGGGGUCAAAAUUGACCCCGACCCAGGGGGUCAUAGAUUUUCCCUAUAUGCAUAUAGUAAAAACUUAAAAAAUCUUCUUUUAAAGAACCCAAAGAGCUAGAGCUAAGAUAUUUAGCAUGAAACAUCUUCUAAUGAGUGUCUACCAAGUUUGUUCAAAUAAAAGCCCUGGGGUCAAAAUUGGCCCCGCCCCAGGGGGUCAUUGAUUUUCCCUAUAUGCAUAUAGUAAAAACUUAAAAAAUCUUCUUUUAAAGAACUCAAAGAGCUAGAGCUAAGAUAUUUAGCAUGAAACAUCUUCUAAUGAGUGUCUACCAAGUUUGUUCAAAUAAAAGCCCUGGGGUCAAAAUUGGCCCCGCCCCAGGGGGUCAUUGAUUUUCCCUAUAUGCAUAUAGUAAAAACUUAAAAAAUCUUCUUUUAAAGAACUCAAAGAGCUAGAGCUAAGAUAUUUAGCAUGAAACAUGUUCUAAUAGGUAUCUACCAAGUAUGUUCAAAUAAAAGCCCUGGGGCCAAAACUGGCCCCGCCCGGGGAGUUAUUGAUAUUCCUUAUAUGUGUAUAGCAAAAACUUAAAAAUCUUCUUUGGAAAAACCCAAAUAGCUAGAGUUUAGAUAUUAAGCAUGAAACAUCUUUAAGUAAAUAUCUACAAAGUUUGUUAAAAUAAACGCCCGGGGGUCAAAACUGGCCCUGCCCCAGGGGUGUCAUUGUUUUUAACUAUAUGUGUAUAGUAAAAACUUUAAAAAUCUUCUUUUAAAAAAGACAAUGAGCUAGAACUUAGAUGUUUAGCAUGAAACAUCUUCUUAUUGGUGUCUACCAAGUGUGUUCAAAUAAACAAAUAAAAGCCCUUGGGUAAAAAUUGGCCCGGGGGGUGGGGGCCUAUAUACAGGUGAGCGACCUCAGGGCCAUCAUGGCCCUCUUGUUUUUUAUAGACGGGGGAUUUGGCAGAUUUUGACUGCUUCUUGUUUAACUUAUAUGUAUUAAUUUGUUACAAUUGUUUUGAUGUGUAAUAUAUAAGACAUGCAAGUUAAUCUGAAUCAUGUGAAGCAUUCGGUGCAAUUUGUGUGUUAUAGUGAAAAAUGUUAUAUAUGUAUAAAGACCUUAAGUUUCUGAUUCUUAGGAUUUCACUUAUUUCCUUGAAAUGUAUUUUACUUUACAUGUACUUUAUUGUGUGAUGUUAAAAAAAUGAAUAAUAACUGUAAAUUUACUGAUUUAUAUAAUUCCAAACAUUUCUGUGAAAUGUACUCAUUAUAUGUUUUAAAAGGAUAUAUAGGCAAUUUUUAGAAGAGAUAUUGUUUUGCUAAUGUCUGUCGGUCUGUCCAUCGGUAGACCAUAUGGUUUUCGCUGAUUAUAUUAUAAAGUAUUGAUCACAAAGUCUUCAUAUUUCAUAUUAUGAUUGGUCAUAACUACAACAUGACCCCUAUUGAUUAAGGGGUCACUAGGUCAAAGGUCACAGGUACCUUAAAUGUCAGAAUGGUUUCCAUUCAUUAUCUUGAAAACUUUUUAUGGCAAACUCUUCAUUAUUUUUCUUUUUUCACAACUGAACACUUCCAUGUACCCUUUUAUGGCAAGUUUCUAUAACAGAAUAUACCAAUAAUGUGAGUUAAGGGCUAGAAAGGUGGGGGGCAUAUAUAUGUAUCAUUUGACAUUUCUUGUUUAUUUAUUUCUGAAAUUUUCAUCCAAUAUUGUAUUUAUGUCCUCAAAAUGAAUACACUAAGCAGUCACAGGUACCAAAACAUUUCUCCUUAUAAAGGAAAAAACAGGCGGUCUCUACUUGACCAAUGUUCAGAAAAUUCAUUUUUUUGCAUAAAUAUCGAAGUGAACUUUGGGACCAUAAAAGUAUCCAUAUUAUGUAACGACUUAGACUUGUUCCACAAUUGUACUAUUUGCCAUGUUUGUUUUUGUAGCGCUUGUUACAUGAUGUUCCACACUUGUACUUUUUGCCAUGUUUGUUUUUGUAGCGCUUGUUACAUGAUGUGUUUAAAAGUUACUCUGUGAUAACAUCUGCAUUUUUACUUUCGUUUAACAUAUGUUCAUUUAUUACACUUCAAGAUUUUUUCUGCCUUUUUGAUUGGAUAUUGAUCACCCUAAAGAAAUUGAUAUAACCGAGCCAGACGGGUAAUAUACACACAAAAUUUCCCCAUGGGGUACCCCACGUUGUAAACAACAUGGGCAGUGGCGAUGCGCGUACAUUUUGAUUUUACACGAUGUUAAUUCCGAUUUACAAGCAGUUUUUAACUGUCAAAUGAUAAAUAUUUACCAAAAUAGAGUAAUGAUACAUAUUCUCAUCCGUAUUGAAAAUAAAUAUGACCUUGUGAAAGCUUGAUAUUAAUUCCAAAAAAUGUGUUCAACAGACUACUCUUUUUCUCUUGUUUCGAAAGAAAGUUAGUCAUGUAUUUAUGUGACAUCACAUUGUGGUUAAGGGACCCUAAAGGGAAUCUUAUUUCGACGUUUCAUUUGAAGUAGCAAUGAUUUAUUUUAAAAUCGUCUGAACUCGGCAGGGGGAGGGUAAUAAAAUUAUUAGUUUGGUUUUGGAGUAAUAUAUUCACAUAUAUCACUCCUAAACCAAAAUAACUUAUAAUAUAUACGUUCAAAACCUCAUUAUAUAUUAUUUAUAUAGACAAACAUUUUGGGAAGUUUUAAUAUUUCAUUUAUUUAAUGUCUUGAAAUGUUGUUUUUUCUUUUUGUUUUUUUUUUUUGUUAUUCAUUUUCUUGUGUAGCAUAUCCCUUUAAUGAGUUAUGUUUUAAAAUACAUGUUUGUAUGUAAAUGUAUCUAAAGUUUCUUAUUUAAAAAUGUGAGUCACUCAUAUCAAAUAUAUAUACCAGGUACAUGUCUUUUUAAUAUAAAAUGUUUUAAAAUAUUAUUAGAAUUCUUAGUUUCUAAAUUUGAAACAUUUCUAUAAUUUCUAUGUAUAUUGUAUAUUACAAUUGCCUACAUAAAUUUUCUUAUGUAAAUGAUAAAUAAACCUAAUAAUUUUAAUUGUUUGAGUCAUUUCUAUUAAAUGGACCUACAAUGUG